AAACUCACUACAAAGUACUAAGACCAAAACAAACACUUUAAAGAAAUGCCCACUUUUGUGUCCAGAUAGUCAAAAUCUAUCUUGAUGAACAUCUGUUUUCUAAUUCCCAAGAACACAUCACAGGUUUAUGGUGACUUGGUAAGUGGACCCCUGGAUCACAUUCCUGACCUACAGAUGUGUCCGCAGCACAGUUCCAGCACCUCACACAGAGGAGGAAGAGCUGCCACCAAUGCCUGUCAUUACCAUCUACGGUUAGGACAAUACCAGUGUUUUCUUAUCUGAUUCUUCUGUGCUUCCUUUUAGGCAAAAUUUCACUCCAGCAAGGUAACCCUCUGUUAACUAUCAAACAAAGCAAAAUAAUGAAAAUGAACUGGGGCAAAGAAGAGACAUGAUUUUUAAGGCCCUUUAGUCCUUUGUAGCCUUAAAGGUUACUCAAAAGACACUGGGUAGAGGCUAUUUGAAUAGGCCUCAUAAAUUUAUGGUCACUCUGACAGCUUUUCUUUGCAGAACUUAAUUUUUCCAAAUCAACUUUAACCUUGAACUGUGUAAGUAGGGCCAAGUACAAAACAAGCAUUUCUUUUAGAUAAUACUGAAGACAAAAGGGAUAGACAGUACAUUCUAAAGCAUCAACCGCCUGGGAGGUGUUUUAUAGUACAAUCUGUGAAAAUGAAGGCACACUCUGCUUGUUGAAGACACAAGCAACUUGAAAAGGACUCAAUUUGAUCAUGUCCUGUUGGUGUGGCACCACCAGAACACAGACUGAGCACAAACAGGUGCACAAUUCAAUUACUAAAGGCAAGCAGCUUUGACAGCUGAUAACACAGGUGCUUAUUUUCAGCAGAGCUAACCUCCAAGAUGCUACCUAUGUAUGUGCCGCGGCCAGAGACCGAGCGUUGGUCAGACCUAUGGCAACUAAAUAUUUAACACAUUUAUGAAGUAACUUUUUAAAAAUCUGAUCCAUUAAUCCUACAGUAAAUCAUUCAAAUCAGCCUUAGCUAAUGAUUCUUCUCUAUCUUUAGCUGUGAUUUAAGGCACACCAGCAUUAAAAAUUCUACCUCAUCAAUCAUGCAGGGCUAAUGGCACCUCUGUGUCCUCGUGACCUCUACAAAAUGGCAGUCGCGUCCACACUUAGGAUCCCUAAUUCUGCUUGCUUAAAACACCAAAGAAUUUUCAGACACCAAAAGCUAUAGCAUGAAAGCCUAGAGUCAGGUGGCAUCCUGUGAAAAGACAAGACUUAAAAGUAUUUUGCAGAAAUGCUAUCUGAUGAGUAAUUUUCACAUGAGACUGAACUAUUCAGAAACAGCAGGAAUUCCAAUACACAUCCACUUCGGACAAAGGACUCAGGAAGUUUGAGAAUCCAAUGUAACAAAUUUAACCGCUGCCCUCUCUUCAUCUGUCACUGAGAACAGUUCUUAAUAUAGGAAGCACAGGGAAUAAAGCAGUAAAGUCACUUCAAAUCUAAGACAAAUCCUUCUAUCAUUACUGGGGAAACAAAGGCACUGACAAAUGAGGCUGACAUGCCCUGGGUAUCACACAGGCCUGAAAGAGCUGCAAGGGUCCUGCCUGGAGUUCCAAGCAUGUCUCUCCUGCUCUGCUUCCCAUCCAGAUCCUGACUUGUUUACCGUCCUACGGCUGAGUUCAGGAGGUGGGGGACAGUGCAUAAGACCUUUUUAAAGGACUAUGUUUUGUUUUGACCGAUGCAAUCAAUUAUUAAAAUUUAAGCAUUGGCAAUUCUGAAAGAAAGUGUCAGGUACUAGAUCUAUGCUGAAGUCACAGAAAUAUUAAACAAGAUUGUAACAUGGUUUACUAAUGAACUUAGUGACCCGUCUUAACCUAAGAAAUGUUCUAUGAUCGGAAAAUAAGACACAUGACACUGAGCUAUUACCCAAGACAUAAAGGAAGUUUGAGAGGAUUGCAUCUUUUCUUAGAGUACUUUUGAGAGCUUUUCUAUAGUUUUAAAUUCAAUUUACAUCUGGCCACAUUAAAGAAGUGGCACUGCUUUGUGAGUCCUAAGUCUGAAAUUAGAACUAUUUAUUCAUCUCUAAAAGCAGCCAAAGCAAUGACCCUUCAUGCCUUUAACUUAUACAACAGCUAUUUCCUUUAAGUGGGGAAAAAAAA
rnacentral:lncRNA from 1 species